ensembl:misc_RNA 7SK 7SK RNA
AGAUGUGAAGGCAAUUUUUCUGUGGCAAAUGUCACAGCACUGACCACACCAGUGUUAAUUCAGCUGAUAUGGCUGGCCGGCCAGGUAUCCCCUUCCUUCCUUAUCACUCUAUAUGUGUCCCUCCCAAAGACGUAUGUUCACUUAAAAAAGAUGACUUUCCCCAAUAGAGAAGGGCUAUUUUUCAGUUAAGGAUAGGUAAGCAGCUGUACUCCCCUGGUAGAACCUCCAAAAAAAGUCAAAUAUUCCAUUUAUGCCUCAAAUAUGAGAUUGUAACAAAGUUUCCCUGGUCCUCCAAACCACUGGGUUU